AGACCCGAAACCCGGUGAUCUAGCCAUGGGCAGGUUGAAGGUUGGGUAACACUAACUGGAGGACCGAACCGACUAAUGUUGAAAAAUUAGCGGAUGACCUGUGGCUGGGGGUGAAAGGCCAAUCAAACCGGGAGAUAGCUGGUUCUCCCCGAAAGCUAUUUAGGUAGCGCCUCGUGAAUUCAUCUCCGGGGGUAGAGCACUGUUUCGGCUAGGGGGCCAUCCCGGCUUACCAACCCGAUGCAAACUGCGAAUACCGGAGAAUGUUAUCACGGGAGACACACGGCGGGUGCUAACGUCCGUCGUGAAGAGGGAAACAACCCAGACCGCCAGCUAAGGUCCCAAAGUCAUGGUUAAGUGGGAAACGAUGUGG
rnacentral:rRNA from 1 species